rnacentral:rRNA from 1 species
AACGUCUCAGUUCGGAUUGUAGUCUGCAACUCAACUACAUGAAGCUGGAAUCGCUAGUAAUCGCGAAUCAGAAUGCUGCGGUGAAUACGUUCCCGGGUCUUGUACACACCGCCCGUCACACCAUGGGAGUCGGAAAUGCCCGAAGCCGGUGACCCAACCAAAAGGAGGGAGCCGUCGAAGGCAGGUCUGAUAACUGGGGUGAAGUCGUAACAAGGUAGC